GCGGAGGCAGCAGUGGGGAAUUUUGCGCAAUGGGCGAAAGCCUGACGCAGCGACGCCGCGUGGGGGAAGAAGGCCUUCGGGUCGUAAACCCCUUUUCUCAGGGAAGAAUAAUGACGGUACCUGAGGAAUAAGUCACGGCUAACUACGUGCCAGCAGUCGCGGUAAUACGUAGGUGGCUAGCGUUAUCCGGAUUUACUGGGCGUAAAGCGCGCGUAGGUGGUUUUUCAAGUCGAAUGUAAAAUCUCCCGGCUCAACUGGGAGGGCGCAUUUGAUACUGUGAGACUUGAGGGCAGUAGAGGAAAGCGGAAUUCCCGGUGUAGUGGUGAAAUGCGUAGAUAUCGGGAGGAACACCAGUGGCGAAGGCGGCUUUCUGGGCUGCACCUGACACUGAGGCGCGAAAGCGUGGGGAGCGAACAGGAUUAGAUACCCCGGUAGU
rnacentral:rRNA from 1 species